rfam:Penicillium freii strain DAOM 242723 scaffold_14, whole genome shotgun sequence.
GCCCUUCGGGGCAUAUUGUGUACUGAAAAUAUACAGAGAAGAUUAGCAUGGCCCCUGCACUAAGGAUGACACGCUCAAUCAAAGAGAAGUUACCUAUUUUU